AGGACGACGCUGGCGGCGUGCCUAAUACAUGCAAGUCGAACGGCUUUUCUAUGGAAGCUUGCUUCCACUGAGAAGAUAGUGGCGAACGGGUGAGUAACACGUGGGUAACCUGCCCAUAAGAGGGGGAUAACAUCCGGAAACGGGUGCUAAUACCGCAUAGUUUUCUUGAUCGCAUGAUUGAGAAAGGAAAGACGGCCUUUGUGCUGUCGCUUAUGGAUGGACCCGCGGCGUAUUAGUUAGUUGGUGAGGUAACGGCUCACCAAGACGAUGAUACGUAGCCGACCUGAGAGGGUGAUCGGCCACAUUGGGACUGAGACACGGCCCAAACUCCUACGGGAGGCAGCAGUAGGGAAUCUUCCGCAAUGGACGAAAGUCUGACGGAGCAACGCCGCGUGAGUGAAGAAAGGUUUUCGGAUCGUAAAACUCUGUUGUCAGAGAAGAACAAGUUGGAGAGUAACUGCUCCAGCCUUGACGGUAUCUGACCAGAAAGCCACGGCUAACUACGUGCCAGCCGCUGC
rnacentral:rRNA from 1 species